rnacentral:rRNA from 1 species
GACGAACGCUGGCGGCGUGCUUAACACAUGCAAGUCGAACGGAAAGGCCCUGCUUUUGUGGGGUGCUCGAGUGGCGAACGGGUGAGUAACACGUGAGUAACCUGCCCUUGACUGUGGGAUAACUUCAGGAAACUGGGGCUAAUACCGGAUAGGAGCUCCUGCUGCACGGGGGGGGUUGGAAAGUUUCGGCGGUUGGGGAUGGACUGGCGGGUUAUCAGCUUGUUGGUGGGGUAGUGGCUUACAAAGGCUUUGACGGGUAGCCGGCCUGAGAGGGUGAACGGCCACAUUGGGACUGCGAUACGGACCAGAAGCGUACGGGAGGCAGCAGGGGGGAAUAUUGCAGAAUAGGCGGAAGCCUGAUGCAGCAGCGCCGCGUGCGGGAUGCCGGCCUUCGGGUUGUAAACCGCUUUGGCCUGUGAUGAAGAGUGAGUGACGGUAAUGGGUAAAGAAGCAACGGCUAACUACGUG